rnacentral:rRNA from 1 species
UACAGGGGGGGCAAGCGUUGUUCGGAAUUACUGGGCGUAAAGGGCUCGUAGGUGGCCAACUAAGUCAGACGUGAAAUCCCUCGGCUUAACCGGGGAACUGCGUCUGAUACUGGAUGGCUUGAGUUUGGGAGAGGGAUGCGGAAUUCCAGGUGUAGCGGUGAAAUGCGUAGAUAUCUGGAGGAACACCGGUGGCGAAGGCGGCAUCCUGGACCAACACUGACACUGAGGAGCGAAAGCCAGGGGAGCAAACGGG